rnacentral:rRNA from 1 species
UACAGAGGUCCCAAGCGUUGUUCGGAUUCAUUGGGCGUAAAGGGUGCGUAGGUGGCAGGGUAAGUUGGAUGUGAAAUCCCGGGGCUCAACCCCGGAACUGCAUUCAAUACUGCCCUGCUAGAGUACUGGAGAGGAGAUUGGAAUUCAUGGUGUAGCAGUGAAAUGCGUAGAUAUCAUGAGGAAGACCAGUGGCGAAGGCGGAUCUCUGGACAGUUACUGACACUGAGGCACGAAGGCCAGGGGAGCAAACAGG